rnacentral:rRNA from 1 species
AUGCUGCAUGGGCGGCGCGCGCGGGGAGACCAAGCGGUUGGAGCACGCCCCAGCCGUGGACGUUGUAGACCGCUGAGAAGAGAUUGGCCGACCCCGCAGACGACGUUGUCGUGCUGGAUGCCAGGGAGAUGGCGGCGCCAAGCAGCUCCCGGCGACGGCAGCCAGAACGGCACAGCCGCCUGCUCCGUGGUGGCUGCCGCUUACCUUGUCAUAAAUGCCCCACGGCGGCCCUGGCACCAGUUCCGCUUGAGCAGCGCGACGCAGACCAGUGAGGAAGCUUUGGUGGGUGGCAACAGUGCUGCUCAGACUACCCACAGUGGGACUAACAUAGGUAGUAAUAUCACACAUAUCUAG